GGCAGGCUGUGGCUCAGCGACGGCGAUGGAGGCGCGGUGGGCGCUCGGCUGCGCGGUGCUCCUGGGCGCCCUCGGGCUCGCCCCAGGGCAAGGAGACUUCGACCUGGCUGACGCGCUGGACGACCCCGAGCCCACCAAAAAUCCACACUCGGGUCUCUUCCCGCAACCAAAGCUGCCCCAUGCACCGCAGCCUGGGAACUCUGGCGGUGGCGGCGGCGGAGG